GUAGGGGGCGAGCGUUGUCCGGGAUUUAUUGGGGCGUAAAGAGCUCGUAGGCGGUUGCGUAAGUCGGGAUGUGAAAACUCAGGGGCUCAACCCUGAGAUGCCAUUCGAUACUGCGCUGACUCGAGUCCGGUAGGGGAGCAUGGAAUUCCUGGUGUAGCGGUGAAAUGCGCAGAUAUCAGGAGGAACACCAGUGGCGAAGGCGGUGCUCUGGGCCGGUACUGACGCUGAGGAGCGAAAGCAUGGGUAGCAAACAGGAUUAGAUACCCUGGUAGUCCAUGCCGUAAACGUUGGGCACUAGGUGUGGGGCCUACUUAACGGGUUCCGUGCCGUAGCUAACGCAUUAAGUGCCCCGCCUGGGGAGUACGGCCGCAAGGCUA
rnacentral:rRNA from 1 species